AGCUUGCGUACAGUCUUUGGCUUGCAUUCCACGAAGAACAAACAUCCUGUUCAUAUUUGCUCAACUUCACCUACGUUAAGCGAUUCAGAGAUCAAGAUGAACCCACGACUUGUAUUGGUGCUGUUGGCCCUGGUUGCUAUGACUACGUCAAUGACUAUCAGAGAUGAUAAUGAAGAGAACCAUCAUGAUUUGGUGACGCGUUGUAGGCCUCUUCGCUGUAAUGCUUGCCAAGGGAGAUUAGGAAUAACUCACAAACGUUGCUGCGAACCAAAAAAAUGCAACUUCCAUGGAGGAUGCGAGUGAGAACCAAGCAAAAGAUGGAAAUCGAGACCGGAAAAACUUAUCGCUUUAUUAACGCACCAAAUAGAUAGUCGGCACAAAUAAUCUUCGCCAGCUCUGCUUGCGAAUAACCGGUCAAUAAAUA